rnacentral:misc_RNA from 1 species
UUUCCGUAGGUGAACCUGCGGAAGGAUCAUUAUUGAAAUAAACCUGAUGGAUUGCUGCUGGUUCAUUAAUGAAUAUGUGCGCAUCUGUCAUCUUUAUAUCCUCCACCUGUGCACUUUUUGUAGACCUGGAUAAGUUUCUUAAUGCUAGCAUUAAGGUUUGAGGACUGACUUUUGUCUUUCCUUACAUUUCCGGUCUACGUUUAUUCAUAUACCCCAAUGUAUGUUAAAGAAUGUAAUAAUUGGGCGUUUGCGCCUAUAACACUAUACAACUUUCAGCAACGGAUCUCUUGGCUCUC